rnacentral:rRNA from 1 species
UGGGGAAUAUUGCACAAUGGGCGAAAGCCUGAUGCAGCAACGCCGCGUGAGUGAUGAAGGCCUUCGGGUUGUAAAGCUCUGUCUUUUGGGACGAUAAUGACGGUACCAAAGGAGGAAGCCACGGCUAACUACGUGCCAGCAGCCGCGGUAAUACGUAGGUGGCAAGCGUUGUCCGGAUUUACUGGGCGUAAAGGAUGCGUAGGCGGAUUUUUAAGUGAGAUGUGAAAUACCCGGGCUUAACUUGGGUGCUGCAUUUCAAACUGGGAAUCUAGAGUGCGGGAGAGGAGAAUGGAAUUCCUAGUGUAGCGGUGAAAUGCGUAGAGAUUAGGAAGAACACCAGUGGCGAAGGCGAUUCUCUGGACCGUAACUGACGCUGAGGCAUGAAAGCGUGGGUAGCAAACAGGAUUAGAUACCCUGGUAGUCCACGCCGUAAACGAUGAGUACUAGGUGUAGGAGGUAUCGACCCCUUCUGUGCCGCAGUUAACACAAUCAAGUACUCCGCCUGGGAAGUACGAUCGCAAGAUUAAAAC